rnacentral:tRNA from 2 species
GCGGACGUGUCCGAGUGGUUAAGGAGAACGAUUAGAAAGCGCCUAGAUAUCGUUUGGGCUCUGCCCGCACAGGUUCGAAUCCUGUCGUCCGCG